rnacentral:lncRNA from 1 species
AGGAGGUGUCCCGCAGUUGGGGAUUGCCAGAACAGGAAGCACAAUUUCUAAUGCUCGCCGUGGCUGCUUUUAGUUUAGUUUAGGUCUAUCCUGGGGCCAGUUUCAGAGCUGCAGUUGUGAGAUAUUCCUUUCAAGAUUGAGCAUUCUCAUUCAACACAAAGGCAAACAUAACAUUUUUAAUUGCACUCGACUGAAGUUUGAGAGCUUGGUGAAGGCGGUGGAUUGUGAGGACAAUGAGUCAUUCCAGACUCUACCUGUAUCCCAAAUUGGUAAAAUAAA